rnacentral:rRNA from 1 species
GAUCCCAUCAGAACUCUGAAGUUAAGUGUGCUUGGGCGAGAGUAGUACUAGGAUGGGUGACCUCCUAGGAAGUCCUCGUGUUGCAUUCCC